AAGAUGAAGGCCAUGCACGGCUUCUUCGAGGAAGGCGACAAGGUAAAGGUCACCCUGCGCUUCCGCGGCCGCGAGAUGGCGCAUCAGGAUCUCGGCGUGAAGGUGCUCGAGCGCGUCAAGGUCGAUACGGCCGAGGUCGCCAAGGUCGAGAGCGACUGGCAGCUCGAAGGCCGCCAGAUGGUGAUGGUGCUCGCGCCGCGCUGAGGCGCGGGCAAUCUCGCAAGACUUGUUCGGGAUAACCGAAAGAGGGCGCCUCGGGCGCCCUU
rnacentral:misc_RNA from 1 species